UAUGUGUCAGCGUAUGUGUGCGUGGUUGUCUGUAUGCAUACAUUUUGUAUAGUUCUGUGUAGUUUCAGCAGAAUUGCAUGCCACUCCCUCUGGUAUGAAGCUCUGAUAGUGAACUGCUCCCAGUUCAAACUGGCUUGUAGGGCUCUGAAGUCAGAACUGGUGCAUUUUUUUCACAGAUUUCACUUCUUUAGUGUCUGCAGAAGUCAUCUUAUCUUAAAAAGGCUAACGGAAAUAUCCUUGGACCUUCAUGAUAAAUUUCACAUGAAAUUUGUCAGAGUAGAAUAUCCUGCCAUAAAAAUGUCUGAUGCUGCAAAGGAAUAUGAAAAUCACUUGCAAAGUUCAGCCUGCAGUGUUGUGUAACUUCAUUAAUCUGAGUGUUGGCAAGAUCAGUGAGAAUACAUCAUAUGUCACAACACGGAGGUGUGUUACUAAGCAAGAAAAAGUGCAAAGAAAACAGUAUUGGGAAAAUAAUGUUUCGCCUACAAAAGGAAUAAUGUCCGAUCAGUAUUCCUGAAGGAAGACUGUAUAGUUUUACCUAGUCCAGUCGUUAGAAGUGCCGAGAAUAAGGGGAAUGAUUCCAUCCAUUUGGUGAAGAAAAGUUCCUGAAAGACACACAUCAUAAGAGUGAUGUGAUUUACCCUAGAAUUCUAUGAAAACAAAGCAAUAAGGCAUCUGCUACUGUGCAGGAUAGAGGGAGUGCUUCACACAGCAAUACACUACGUGUGGAAAUGAUGACGCCAUAAUCUUGCACCAUAAGAGCAUGCUGCUGUACAAUAUAAGAUUUCAGCAUGCCCACUGCUAGGAAGAACAUAGUAAGUGGUAAGACAGAGUCAACUACAAUAAAAUGGUUGGGCAGCUUGCUCAACACCAACAGUUAACUGAUUUUGACCUCUAUCUUUCCUCUAACGUGGAAUUCCUGGGACUGAAGCUUCUGUAUAAAUUUGUGCCUUAUGGGAAUGUUAAGUAAAGAUGAAAAUAUAUCUCUAAAUGAUCAGUCUUAGUAAUCAUAUUAAGUGCUUUAGUCAAGAUGUUCAUAUAGGUGGCCAGUUUAUCAACAGUCAUUGUGAAUUCAGAAAAAGGGGGUUAAUUCCUGUAGUGGCCUGUUCCAAGUAUGUGACCUUACAGAUGACAUUUAAGAGCUAUGUACUUACUUUUUUUUUGCUGCUGUAAAUAGGCCUCAUGUCUACAAGUUCAACAUUAGUUUGCAAAGAGAUAUAUUUUAAUCAGAUGGAGGGAAUAUUCAGUGCUCUGCGGCAAACAAAAAUCAUUUGUAAGACAAAGUUCAGGAGACAUGAAUUUAACAAUUGCAGAAUAUAGUCUUCCUAACAAAGAUAGAUGAACUUAAAUUACAUCAUCUAUAAGUGCUUCUAGGAAAGAAGCUUACAAAUAAGGAAAUGCUGAAAUGCAUCACUGGCUGCUCAUCUGACACAGGAAUCACUCUGACAUAGUAACAGCUGGUUCUGCCUGCUUUAGUAAAACCACCCCCUUAACUACAGGCUCACAUCAGGAAGACUAUAUCACCAACUCUUUCCUUCCAUGUUAUCUGACCCUGUGAUUAUGUUUCUGAGAGGGGGAUUGGCUCUCAGACAGAACUCUUCAUCUUGCAUAAUACAGCUCAUCUCAUAUGACUUCUCUUUUUAACAAUUUCUGAAACGUUACAAAAUUAAGUGGAAACCAGCUCACAGAAUGCACAGAUACUGGCAACAUUAGAGAAUACAAUACUUCAAGGUACUUAAAAGAACAUGUACAAACUUUCUUUCAUGUUAUUCAGAAUAUUUCCUAAUAUGCUGUUCUCACACCCCUUUCUUGGCACC